rnacentral:tRNA from 1 species
CAAAGGGUAGUUUAGCUACAUGUUAGAAUACCGGCUUUGGGAGCCGGCGGCGGUGGUUAAAUCCCGCCCUCUUUGA